rnacentral:misc_RNA from 1 species
CGGAAUAACAUAACAGAGUUCGGACUUCAUCAGGUGGAAAUGAAGAGGUAAAGGUUGAAUGGAAAUUAGAAUCAUUUACAAAAUAGGAAAAGAGAGAAACCAGAAGCAUGAGGUGAGGACCAAGCCAACGUGCACUAAAUCAGGUGCCUCCUGCCUCUAUUAAGGGAACUUCUAAAGAAAUCGUUUUCUUCUUUUUUACAUAUUCUACUCCAUAUGAACCAUGCCACUCCCACUUCCAGACUUCAUGUUCAUCGGUACAAGCACAGCAUGAAAGAACAAGUGAACUCUAGACAAGGAUUAGGAAAGGUUCAAUGAAUUUAUGAGAGAUGAUGAUUUUCAAGUACAACAUGAUGCAGUUCGAGAUCCUUCUGCUGGUCUGUUUUCAAGAACCAUUCCUGCUGGAUUUUGAGUGGGUUGAGCUGUAGGCAACCGUUUAGCUAUUUCAUAGAAAAUAUCAUUGACAUUCGCAGCAGUUUUGGCAGAGGUCUCCAUGAAAAAGAGGCCAUUUUCCUCUGCAUACAAGCGUGCCUCCUCUGCAGGAACGUUCCUUCGAUCUUCUAGAUCUGCCUUAUUGCCAGCAAGAGCCAUGAUCAUGUUAGAAUUACCUUGCUUCUGCAAUUCUUGCACCCAUUUCUUUGCCUUUGCAAAUGAAUCCGAGCUAGUGAUAUCAUAGACAAUAAUAGCAGCUGCAGCGCCUCUAUAAUACAUAGGUGCUAAGCUAUGGUACCUCUCCUGCCCAGCAGUAUCCCAUAUCUCAAACUUCACCGUAGCAUUAUUAACUGCCAAUGUAGACGAAAAGAAAGCCGCCCCAAUCGUCGAUUCUUGAAAUUCAAGGAAUUGGCCCUUUAUGAAUCGUAUAACCAAGCUUGAUUUACCAGCUCCCAUGUCACCUAACAAUACAAGUUUUGCAUUCAGAUUGGUGUGCCCAGUGGAUGCCAUGAAUAAAAUUUGUAAAAAAAAUAAGGAAGAAAAAUGGAGAAUUUAGAGAGGGAGAAGGGAUCUGUUG